rnacentral:rRNA from 1 species
GAUGAACGCUGGCGGCGUGCCUAAUACAUGCAAGUCGAGCGAACAGACGAGGAGCUUGCUCCUCUGACGUUAGCGGCGGACGGGUGAGUAACACGUGGAUAACCUACCUAUAAGACUGGGAUAACUUCGGGAAACCGGAGCUAAUACCGGAUAAUAUAUUGAACCGCAUGGUUCAAUAGUGAAAGACGGUUUUGCUGUCACUUAUAGAUGGAUCCGCGCCGCAUUAGCUAGUUGGUAAGGUAACGGCUUACCAAGGCGACGAUGCGUAGCCGACCUGAGAGGGUGAUCGGCCACACUGGAACUGAGACACGGUCCAGACUCCUACGGGAGGCAGCAGUAGGGAAUCUUCCGCAAUGGGCGAAAGCUUGACGGAGCAACGCCGCGUGAGUGAUGAAGGUCUUCGGAUCGUAAAACUCUGUUAUUAGGGAAGAACAAAUGUGUAAGUAACGAUGCACGUCUUGACGGUACCUAAGCAGAAAGCCACGGCUAACUACGU